rnacentral:lncRNA from 1 species
AGCAAUUUAAUACUCACCUCGUCAUGGAUGUGGCUUAAAGACGGUGUGGACUGGCUUUAUAUAUGAAACAAAUUGUAAAUAAUCUACAAGUAACUUAAAGUCCUGAGCAAAAGCAGCUACUAAAGCACCACCUGGCUAUGCAACUCAAGAACUAUGUGUUUCCUGGUUAAAGCUUUGCCUAAACCUACUGAGUUUCAAGACCAUGAUUAUUUAUUUUGAUCUUCUUUGGAAAAGGCCACUAAAUAUCAUCAAAUACCUUGGGAAGACAAAAUUUGUGAAGUAAAAUAAAACCUGGAUAAAAUGGACUAAUGGAGUCAACCUGAAAAUGACAAGUAUUCUGCUGUUUAUUAUUAGACCAUGAGGUACCUAUUUCCCCACGGAGAACAUAUUUGAGACAUAUAUGAAAAUCGGAGGAGAUAAUGCACUCGCAGAGAACUUCUAAUCCUGUUCUACAAAAGUCCAAAGAAGGAGCAAAUAAUGCCAACUUCACUUUUCUUGUUUUCACAUCAAUAAAGACAUUGAUUUUAGUGUCACACUAGCACUGUAUUCUCUCCCAUAUUUUAAAUGUUAAUCAACCUGGGAUUAAUUGGUAGCUCCAAGUGAUAUCGAUCCAAG